GAUGAACGCUGGCGGCGUGCCUAAUACAUGCAAGUCGAGCGAACGGACGAGAAGCUUGCUCUUCUGAUGUUAGCGGCGGACGGGUGAGUAACACGUGGAUAACCUACCUAUAAGACUGGGAUAACUUCGGGAAACCGGAGCUAAUACCGGAUAAUAUUUUGAACCGCAUGGUUCAAAAGUGAAAGACGGUCUUGCUGUCACUUAUAGAUGGAUCCGCGCUGCAUUAGCUAGUUGGUAAGGUAACGGCUUACCAAGGCAACGAUGCAUAGCCGACGUGAGAGGGUGAUCGGCCACACGGGAACUGAGACACGGUCCAGACUCCUACGGGAGGAAGCAGUAGGGAAUCUUCCGCAAUGGGCGAAAGCUUGACGGAGCAACGCCGCGUGAGUGAUGAAGGUCUUCGGAUCGUAAAACUCUGUUAUUAGGGAAGAACAUAUGUGUAAGUAACUGUGCACAUCUUGACGGUACCUAAUCAGAAAGCCACGGCUAACUACGUG
rnacentral:rRNA from 1 species